UACAGAGGUCUCGAGCGUUAGGCGGAAUCACUGGGCUUAAAGCGUGUGUAGGCGGAUCGUUAAGUACCUUGUGAAAUCCCACGGCUUAACCGUGGAACUGCUUGGUAUACUGGCGGUCUUGAGCCAGCUAGGGGCUACCGGAACAAAUGGUGGAGCGGUGAAAUGCGUAGAUAUGUGGAGGAACACCGAUGGCGAAGGCAGCCCCCUGGGUUAACACUGACGCUCAUGCACGAAAGCGUGGGGAGCAAACAGG
rnacentral:rRNA from 1 species